AUUGAACGCUGGCGGCAGGCCUAACACAUGCAAGUCGAACGAAUGGCGGACGGGUGAGUAAUGUCUGGGAAACUGCCUGAUGGAGGGGGCUAACUACUGGAAACGGUAGCUAAUACCGCAUACCAUCAGAUGUGCCCAGAUGGGAUUAGCUUGUUGGUGGGGUAACGGCUCACCAAGGCGACGAUCCCUAGCUGGUCUGAGAGGAUGACCAGCCACACUGGGACUGAGCAACGGUCCAGACUCCUACGGGAGGCAGAAGUGGGGAAUAUUGCACAAUGGGCGCAAGCCUGAUGCAGCAAGGCCGCAUGAAUGAAGAAGGCCUUCGGGUUGUAAAGUACUUUCAGCGGGGAGGCGUUACCCACAGAAGAAGCACCGGCUAACUCCGUGCCAGCAGCCGCGGUAAUUC
rnacentral:rRNA from 1 species